GCUUCCAAGUUCCCCAUUUCCACCCUCUCUCUCUCUCUCUCUCUCUCUCUCUCUCUCUCUUCUGCAACUCAGGAGCUGAUCUUUCUCUUCGAAUCAGAAGGUACCCUUCUUCUUCUUUUUCGCCCCCAAAAAUCGAACUAAACUUUCAAUGUUUUUUUAUCGAUUUUAUUUAUUUAUAUUUCGAUGCAGGAAAUUGGAGAGCUUUUUGAUUCAUUUCUAUGUGAGUAUCUCUGGGUUAUUAAUCUUUGUGGGUUUUCCAUUUUUCUUUUUCACAUGAAUGUUAGGCAUAAAGAAAUUGAAAUGUCGACACGAACAUUGUGUAUCAAGGGAUCAAAACACCAAAUUUUCUAUUGAUUUUCUCUUUCUCUUUGGAUUGAAACCUAAAGCUUUUCUUUUUCUCUCACCGAUCUUUUCAUUUUAUCUACUAAGGGCGGAUGAAGAACUCGUUGAUCAGAAGAAGUAUCUUGAGGAGUCUUGCCAGCCUAAAUGUGUGAAGCCUCUGAUUGAAUAUCAAGUAAUGAAAUUUAUUUCCUAGGUUAAUUUUAGAUGCUGUUAAUAUGAACUUACAAUUGGAUCAGAUAUUUUUUAAAAUCAAAUUACUAGAGAGAUAGUCGUAUCAACUUAUUGGUCUUUGUUGUACCUGUGUGUUUUAUCCAUAUCCAUGCUCCCUGCUAUAGAGGUAAAGGGAAUUACAACCUAGAAAAGCUCCCAAAAUUACUUCUCCUAUGAAAUCUUGGAAGUUGGAACUAUAUAUUUUUGCAUGGUCCAACAAGUUAGAAUGCGUUCUGUAUGUUUUUCCAUAAGAGGAAGUAAUUUGGAAAUCAUAUAUAUCAUCAAAUGUGAAAUUUAGUAAUAUCAAGUUAUUUAGUUAGGUAUGCCGUGCAGAACGUUAUAGAGAGUAAUUGUACAAAGGUUAUAGCCAAAAUAAGAGUAUCAGAAUAUCAGGAUUCAGGAUGUCAUACUAAAGUGAUUAAGCAAGCUCUUUUGACAUAUUUUAAUGGGAUUGUUGGGUUGGCUUACAAGGUUCAUAACUACUACUCUUAGUAUUGGACGCUUGCCUAGACAACAUCAAGAUUCGGCUCUACCUCUACCUUUACUUUCUUGGUUUACUCCAAGAUUUCCCACUUGACCAUUGUUGUAGGUUUUUGUUGUAGGUUUUGGAUAUUAUAGGCUAAGAACAGGGAAAAAUUAUAGAACAUAUACUUACUGGAAUUUUUUAUUUUUGUUUAUUUUGGAGGAAGUGUUGCAUAGACUAUGAAGUCUCAAUCAAAAUCUUUUGCACUUGAAUCUGUUGAAAUUUGGACUUGCUAUGGAAAACAAAUCUUACACUGUAGGUACUUAUUCUGUUGUAUGUAGCUCUAUGAAUAUAAUGCCUUUUCCAAUACUACAGUUAUCUAUUAAAUGCAGCAGUUUAAAACCAGCAGAAUGACUCCUAACAUCGCAAACUGUUGGGUCUCAAUCAAAUUUCCCCUACUUGAACAAUUGGGCUAGAUUUAAUAAACUGAUUGAAUCUUACAAAAGAGUAGAUGAUUAGGCAGCUACUUCUGCUGAGCAUCAGUUAUAGUUCAACCUUAAAAAGUUGUGGAUACAUAUGGCUUUCAUAUUGUCUUUAUUUCUACUUUCUUGCACCCCGGUCCCUCCUGCCAUAAUUGUUGAGUAAUAAAAUUAAAAUUUGAAUCUUUUUUUCUUUUCAUUUUUAAUUUUUUAAAAUAGAAUAAAGAAAUGGAAUAAUAUGAUUGUUAGAGGUCUUUGUUUUGGUAUUUAUAUGUAUGCUUGAGAUUGUUCACAUUUGGUUUGAAUGAAUGUAAUUUCGUAUUUGUACUGGGAUUGUUCAACUUUUUUAUUUAUUGUAGGCAUGUGUUAAGAGGGUUGAAGCUGAUAACAAUGGCGAGAAGCAUUGUACAGGCCAAUACUUUGAUUACAUAUCUUGUGUUGACAAAUGUGUAAGUUUUCAUUUUAAUUCUUUAUAUAUGUUGUAUUAAUUUUGUUCAGACUCAUGUGUUGAUCAUUGCCUUAUGGCGUGUAGGUUGCGCCGAAGUUAUUCGGAGCACUCAAGUAGCUGAGUGGCAGUUUUAGGGUCUCGCAUCCAUUAAUCGUUACUGUUUUACGGUGCAUAUUAUUUUUGAACUUGUGCUCUGAUGUUCGUCGUUUUUGUUUUCAGCAACAUGGUUAAGAUGUUGAGAGGUAUUGAAUUAGAAUAAAAAGAAAAGAGUUUUUUUAACUCGAAGGUCCUCAAAAUUAUACCUAAGUUGUAUUUUGAUUUUUCAACUAAAUUAUUCGUUCAAAUGGUUCACCAACUCUUUAUUACUCGGUGCAUUGGUC
rnacentral:lncRNA from 1 species